AAAAUUAAACCAUCGUUUGGGGCAACUCAGACAGCAACUCAAAUCAAGAGGUUAUAAGAACAAAAAUAUUUCAGAAGCUUUCGGUAAAGCAAAAGAAAAAGACCGAACAAACCUACUUGAAUACAAAGAAAAGACGGCCCAGACAAAUAAAAUCCCGUUUGUUGUUAGCUUUCAUCCUCACCUGACAAAUCUUUCAUCAAUUGUCCACAAACACUGGCGUCUUAUUGAAAAUGAUCCUUCCUUAAAAGAGAUUUUUCCAUCACCUCCCGUUAUGGCUUACCGCAGACCCAAAAACCUCAAAGAUAUUCUAGUAACAUCCAAAGUAUCUAAACAGGAGAUAUCAACAAUCGGAGGUUAUAAACCAUGCGGAAGGGGCAAUUGUAAGUGCUGCAAAGUCGCCAACAUCGAAACCCAAUUCGUCAGCACAGUCACAAAGAAAAAUACAACAAUUUUAUAACAUCAAAUUGCAAAACGCAAAAUUGCAUUUAUGUUCUAACGUGUGGAACUUGCAAAUUACAAUAUGUUGGUGAAACAGAAACACCAUUUAACAUCCGACUAAAUAACCAUCGGUCAUUUUAUACAAAAGAAAGGAACUGCCCAAUUACAAGACACCUUUUAAGAGCAGGACAUGAUUUUGAAAACGUCACAUUUCAAAUCAUUGAGAAAAAUCAAAAUUGGGAUACACAAGGAAGACCAAAAAGAGAGAGAUUUUGGAUGCACCAGUUACGAACUCUUGAACCUGAUGGACUCAAUGAGAGAGACGAAAAAAUAUUUAAAAGCAAAUCAAAACCAUAAUUAUCUUGAAAUCAUACAAAUUAAUUUAUAGAAAUUCAUACAAUUAAUCGAACAUCUAUAAAUGUGUUAAACUUUUAUUCCAACUUCAUGUAGUUGUAGCUACAAACAUAUUUUAUGCAACAUCAAUCAAUAUGUUACACUUUUCCUCAAAUCUUGUAUAGAUUAAGCUACAAAAAUAUUUUUUUGUCAUGCAUCCAAUUUCACCUUGAGAGAUGCACACGCCUGAUGAAGCUAAUUUGUUUAGCGAAAUAUUGCGUAUUUCUAUUUAAAAUCUAAUAGAACUUUUAAUGUAUUAAAU
rnacentral:lncRNA from 1 species